rnacentral:rRNA from 1 species
GAUAAACGCUGGCGGCGCACAUAAGACAUGCAAGUCGAACGGACUUAAUCAAUUUGUUUACAAAUUGAAGCGGUUAGUGGCGGACUGGUGAGUAACACGUAAGCAACCUACCUGUCAGAGGGGAAUAACAAUGAGAAAUCAUUGCUAAUACCGCAUAUGCCAUAAUUACCACAUGGUGAUAGUGGGAAAGGAGAAAUCCGCUGAUAGAUGGGCUUGCGUCUGAUUAGUUAGUUGGUGGGGUAAUGGCCUACCAAGGCGACGAUCAGUAGCCGACCUGAGAGGGUGACCGGCCACAUUGGGACUGAGACACGGCCCAA